rnacentral:rRNA from 1 species
UACGGGGGGAGCAAGCGUUGUUCGGAUUUACUGGGCGUAAAGGGCGCGUAGGCGGCGCAACAAGUCACUUGUGAAAUCUCCGGGCUUAACCCGGAGCGGCCAAGUGAUACUGUCGUGCUAGAGUGCGGAAGGGGCUACUGGAAUUCUCGGUGUAGCGGUGAAAUGCGUAGAUAUCGAGAGGAACACCUGCGGCGAAGGCGGCCCGCUGGGCAGUGGCUGACGCUGAGGCGCGACAGCGUGGGGAGCAAACAGG